rnacentral:rRNA from 1 species
ACGAACGCUGGCGGCGGGCUUAACACAUGCAAGUCGAACGUGAAGCCCGGAGCUUGCUCCGGGUGGAAAGUGGCGAACGGGUGCGUAACGCGUAGGCAACCUGCCCUCGAGUGGGGAAUAACCAUCGGAAACGGUGGCUAAUACCGCAUGAUGUCUUUCUUUCGCAUGGAAGUUAGAUCAAAGCCUUCGGGCGCUCGGGGAUGGGCCUGCGUCGGAUUAGUUUGUUGGUGAGGUAACGGCUCACCAAGGCUACGAUCCGUAGCUGGUCUGAGAGGAUGAUCAGCCACACUGGCACUGAGACACGGGCCAGACUCCUACGGGAGGCAGCAGUGAGGAAUAUUGCGCAAUGGGCGAAAGCCUGACGCAGCCACGCCGCGUGGAGGAAGACACCCCUAUGGGGCGUAAACUCCUUUUAUACGAGAAGAAAUCUCCGACAUGUCGGAGCCUGACGGUAUCGUAUGAAUAAGCACCGGCUAACUCCGUG